GACAGAGGUGCCGAGCGUUAGGCGGAAUCACUGGGCUUAAAGCGUGUGUAGGCGGGCGGGCAAGUACCUUGUGAAAUCCCCGGGCUUAACCUGGGAACUGCAUUGGUGACUGCAUCGCUCGAGUAUGGCAGAGGGGGGUAGAAUUCCACGUGUAGCAGUGAAAUGCGUAGAGAUGUGGAGGAAUACCGAUGGCGAAGGCAGCCCCCUGGGUCAAUACUGACGCUCAUGCACGAAAGCGUGGGGAGCAAACAGG
rnacentral:rRNA from 1 species